UACGGAGGGUGCAAGCGUUAAUCGGAAUUACUGGGCGUAAAGCGCACGUAGGUGGUUUUCUAAGUCAGCUGUGAAAUCCCCGGGCUCAACCUGGGACUUGCAGUUGAAACUGGAAAGCUAGAGUAGGGUAGAGGGGUGUGGAAUUCCAGGUGUAGCGGUGAAAUGCGCAGAUAUCAGGAAGAACACCCGUGGCGAAAGCGGCUCUCUGGAACGGUACUGACGCUGAGACGCGAAAGCGUGGGGAGCGAACAGG
rnacentral:rRNA from 1 species